UAAAGGGAUAUUUGCAUAAAGGGAUAUUUUAUCUAUGUGUGGAUCUUAGAGGGAAUUAUGAUAUCUCCUGAAUAGGAAUAGAUCCCAAGAUGUAAAAUUUUAUUCUAUGAGGAUAGAAUGAAACAUGUUUCUGAGACCUCAGUUAUAAGCCUGCAUUCACAUGCAUCGAGAAGGUAAAAGUAGGCUUUACUUGCUGGUUGAAAACGAAGUGAAGGUCUUUUCCAGUAAUAAUAACAAUUAUUAUUAACAAUAAAAUUAACAAUAAAUUUUUGUUUCUUUUAUCUUCUUUAUUUCUUCCUCUCUUUAGAAUUUUCCUUUUCUUGUUUUGUACCCAAUGGACUUUGGAAACUCCACACAUCUUUUGGAUUCUGGAAGGUUUUGGUCUGGGUCUGAUUCUUAUAUAAGUACAUAUUUGGGGAGAAGGGAGGUUUGGUUAGAAAGAGUUGUUCUCUCUGUCAUAUAUUUGUGGUAAAGGUAUUUCAAAGGAAAAAGAGAAGCUAUCAUUUAAAAGUUGUCACUGAGAAAAUUUCAUUAAUGGGUUUAAAUGUUGCCUACAAAGUAUAAUAGAAUUCUAGUUUUUGAUUAUAAAACUUGUGGAUUUUUCACUAGUGAGAUUAUAUACGUUGGAAUGGAACUAAAUCCAGGGAAACAAAAAUGAUAUAGCCACUAUAUAGGAUAUCAUACUUAAUACAGUUAAUCAACUCAGAGUUGGUAUUAACUUAUACAAAUAAUAUCUAUUUAUUCUGAUAUCUUAAUAAUACUAUUAUGAUCAAUGAUAAAAUAGCCAAAAUUUAUUGUUAACUUCCUGUUUACCAGGCACUAUGCUAACUACUUUAAAACACUUAUGUACUCCUCACACAAACUGUAUGGGAUUAUAAAACACUUAGGUACUCCUCACACAAACUGUAUGGGAUUAU